GGGAUGGACGCACCGCUGGUGUACCAGUUGUUCUGCCAAGGGCAUCGCUGGGUAGCUAUGUGCGGACGGGAUAAGUGCUGAAAGCAUCUAAGCAUGAAGCCCCCCUCAAGAUGAGAUUUCCCAUUCCGCAAGGAAGUAAGAUCCCUGAAAGAUGAUCAGGUUGAUAGGUCUGAGGUGGAAGUGUGGCGACACAUGGAGCUGACAGAUACUAAUCGAUCGAGGACUUAACCUA
rnacentral:rRNA from 1 species